AAAAGAAUAAAAGCAGGCUGCCCGAGCCGGCAGUGGCAAGCUGCUGGGCUUCCCUUCCACAUUGUGGAAGCUUUGUUCUUUUGCUCUUUGCGAUAAAUCUUGCCCCUGCUCACUCUUUGGGUCCACACUGCCUUUAUGAGCUGUAACGCCACGAAGGUCUGCAGCUUCACGAACCCAUCGGGAGGAACGAACAAUUCCAGACGCGCUGCCUUAAGAGCUGUAACACUCACCGCGAAGGUCCGCAGCUUCGCUCCUGAGCCAGCGAGACCACGAACCCACCAGAAGGAAGAAACUCCGAACACAUCCCAACAUCAGAAGAAACAAACUCCAAACACAUCCGAACAUCAGAAGGAACAAACUCCAGACGCGCCACCUUAAGAGCUGUAACACCGCGAGGGUCCGCGGCUUUAUUCUUGAAGUCAGUGAGACCAAGAACCCACCAGUUCCGGACACAAUACUUUUCACACUGCAUGAUGAAGAAAUUUAGCUUUAUUGUUAGGGAAUUCCUGAAGAUUCUGAAAUUGUGAACUGACAAGCCCAUGGAUGUCUACAAAGAGUGA
rnacentral:lncRNA from 1 species